rfam:Nicotiana sylvestris Nsyl_contig77960, whole genome shotgun sequence.
CCGACCUUAGCUCAGUUGGUAGAGCGGAGGACUGUAGUUGGGGUGUAAAACCUAUCAGAUAUCCUUAGGUCGCUGGUUCGAAUCCGGCAGGUCGGA